CCACAUCGGGAAGCUAACAUAAGAGUGGAUGCGAAGCUGGCUUUAAAUAGAGAGAACCAUGAGGAGAGUAAAGGUACCCUUCUUGGCUGAUCCCUUUCGCUUUGCGGCGUGCUCGGUUGGGUUGGGCACCGGUUAAGAGUGCUCGGAGAUGGAUUAACUCCAGUCUCCAAUCAGGUGUGUAUUUCUCACUACUCUAGCUGUAGGAUGGCUACUUCAGGCCGUGAUGGGCCGAAAGGGGCCAUGUGGGCCCAAUGGGCCUACGGGCCCAAUUGGAUAAGUUGUUUGAUUGUGUAGCAAAUAUUGGACUAGGCUAGGUGAAUCUCAUAUCUGUGGCUAGAUUUGGGCUAAAAGGGCCACACGAGCGUGUGGGCCCAUUUGGGCCGAGAAUGGGCUUUAGGCGUAUUCGUAUUCU
rnacentral:lncRNA from 1 species